UACGGGGGGGGCAAGCGUUGUUCGGAAUUACUGGGCGUAAAGGGCGCGUAGGCGGCCUGACAAGUGGAAGGUGAAAUCCCUCGGCUUAACCGAGGAACUGCCCUCCAAACUGUUUGGCUUGAGUCCGGGAGAGGUGAGUGGAAUUCCAGGUGUAGCGGUGAAAUGCGUAGAUAUCUGGAGGAACACCGGUGGCGAAGGCGGCAUCCUGGACCGGUAUUGACGCUGAGGCGCGAAAGCUAGGGGAGCAAACGGG
rnacentral:rRNA from 1 species